CGCCUACUGUGUCAGUGGACUUCCUGUUGCCUCUGAGUCAAGAUGUAAGCACUCUCAGCUCCAGCACCACAUCUGCCUGCUGGACACCAUGCUUCCCGCCAUGAUGAUAACUGAACCGCUGAAACUAGCAUGUGGGCUCAUGUAUCACUCAGUCUGUUUGGAAGUCCACACUGUGCCUUCCCCAGCCAUGGAGCCCUGGGAAAUACCUUGUUCACACUCCAGAGUCUUGGCCUCUUCAUGUCUACAGUGAGAACGGUGGUACUUACCUGACAAAGUGGGAAGAUGGAACCAUGGCUGUUCAGUGGCUGCCACAGAACAAGGCGCUGAUCUGUGUGGGUGGUGAUUAAGAUCGUACCCAUGGCCUCACACGUGCUAGACAAGCACUGUCUCAACAAGCCACAAUCCCAGCCCCAGUUUAACUUUCUGCAUCACAAUCUGGCUGUGCCUCAGAGAAGCGGUGCAACCAAGACUUGAUUCUAGAUAAUUAUAAAUUUGUUUUGAAGACAGACAAAUAGAUUUUCUAAGUCGGCUGUGAAAUGGAGCCUGUCUGCAGACAGCUAAGUGGUGUGAGCGUAGUUUUGGCUGAUGGUGGAAGACCUAAAAGACUUUUGUCAUGUCCUGGAUACAGUACUUGGCUCCUUCAGGAAACUGGCAAGUGAUGCCUUGCUUUCACAUCAAGUCAGAGUCACGGCAUUUGUUUUCAUUCAUUAGCUCUGUGAUUGAAUAAGCCGUGACACGGUUCGAUGGAAAUGCAUUUAGCUGGGCUUAGCAGAGCAACAUUUUAAUAUCCCUUUGAAGACUGAUUUUUUUUUCACUAAGAGCAAAUAACUUUUCAUUUAUCCUAAUAUGAUCACCUCAGUCAACCAGAAGUUAUUUAGGAAACAGCCAGGCUGUAUGUCACUUUAUAAAAUAGGGAAAUUGAAUGUCUGACUGUAAGGGCUGUUGAGUGGUGCCUGCCCCAGCUGCUCUCCAGAGCUCUGAAGUCCUGGAUUCCUGGUCUUUCUCCGCUUGUGGUUAGGGAGAAGACAGAAGAAAACUUUCAUUUACGAAGGGACUCUGAAAGCUGAAAGCGUAUCCUGAUCAUCUGCUAGCCUGCUGUAGUCAGCAGUUAAACAAGUGUGAAGGAGACUAGAGGGCCAGGCCAGGAAAAGGAGGAAUGUAGAUAAGGGAUGCUGACUCUGAAUGGCUUGACAUGUCCAUCUCCAUAAAUGAUAUCUUCAUCCAUGAGGUGGCCAUGUGCAAUGGGGAAAGAUCAUGAGCUGGGCAGAUGAAGGCACUGAUUGCCUCCUCCUCCUCCUUUCUUUUUUGAGACAGGAUCUCAUGUAUCUUGCCGGGCUUGAACUAACAAUGCAGCCCAGGAUGACAAUGAACUUUAGUAAGUGUGUGUAGUGUGAGUGUAGCUAUAUGCACAGUGCCACAAGUACAUGAGUGGAGGUCAAAUGACAACAUUGGCUAUAGGUUCGUCCUCAACUUCUUCCUGUUAGAGGCAAAGUCUUCUGCCAUGCGCCACUGUGUGUGCCAGGUCUGCUGGCCUGCAAGCUGCUGGGGAGUCUCCUGACUCUGGCUCUCAUCUUGCCAUAAGCACACUGGGAUUAUGGAUGCACACUGCUCCAUCUCUUUAUUAUAUGGGUUCUGGGGAUCUGAGCUCUGGCCAUGUACCCGGCCCAACCAUCACAUUGUGAUCCUUUUGUCUUGACCUCUCAGAUGCUGGGAUGACAGGCUGGCUCCACCAUACUGUUUAUAUGGUGCCAAGGAUCAAGCCUAGGGCAUUUCGCUUGUUAGGCAAGAGUUCAAUUGUGCUACAACCCCAACUUCCUGAAGAAUACCUUUUUACACUGUCUUUUUCUCAUCUAUUUUUAUGCUUUUACUUUGGAAUCCACACUACCUACAAAUUCCAUCCAGCUUAUUUAUUUACUUAUUUAUUUAUUAUUGUGUCC
ensembl:lncRNA